GCUGAAAGCAUCUAAGCAUGAAGCCCCCCUCAAGAUGAGAUUUCCCAACUUCGGUUAUAAGAUCCCUCAAAGAUGAUGAGGUUAAUAGGUUCGAGGUGGAAGCAUGGUGACAUGUGGAGCUGACGAAUACUAAUCGAUCGAAGACUUAAUCAAAA
rnacentral:rRNA from 1 species